AAGACAUAAACAUCGACAUCUUUAUAAAAGCCAAAGUAUCGGGAUUCUCAUCAUCAUUUACAAAGCAGACAUAGCUCAAUAUUUACAAGGAUUCAAAAUAUGCAGAGCAACACAGCAAAAGGUGAUAAGACUAUAUGUAUGGAGACAUAUAGCUGAGAGUAUAUCACUUGAUUAAGUCUAAGACAAACUCCAAAAUCAAAAUACUACCAUAUGAAAUGAAAAUACGGUAGAUAGUGAACAUUCGAAACAACAAUCCCGCCAACACCAGGCCAUCCUCCAUCUUUGCUUAUCCUGCACAUUUAGAAAUACAUGCAGGGCUUGAGUACAGAAUACUCAGUGGACAUAAGCCGAAAAACAAGAAAGCUGCUCUUAGAGCUAUAAAUUGAACUUGAUAUGAUCCUGGCCGAUCAAAUCGAAUACCACGCAAACGGAAGACUUGAAAACACGAACAGAAGAUGGAAUCUAAAAACCUCUGAAUCUAACCCACGGAAUGAUUUAGGCGAACGAAUCCUUAAACCCCAACAUGAAGUUGACGCAGUAACUCGGGGACGAUGAAUGACACACGACGAGGGAUGGUUGACUCGCCGUUACGCCGGAUAAAUGAACUCUCUUGGAAUAUACAAGAGAAAAUUCGAAACUCUCAAGGAGAAGUGAUAACUCACGAAAUUUGAUAUAAAAUUGGUUGAUAAUUCGUUCAUAACAAGAGGCCUAUAUAUAGGCAACAAUAAAGAGACCUAAUCUAAUAAGGAAACAACUAAACCUAAUCUAAACCCUAAUUUUCGUCCAUCAUAAAGACUAUAAAUAAGGUAUGCGAAAACCUAACCAAACUAGGAGAAUAAACAUGGAAAAUAACUCCUAAUCUAAUAAGGAAACAUAUCCUUAGUCAAAACAAGGUAUAAAACUCAAAAUUGACUCAACUAAGGCCUAAUUUCAGCCACCCUAACAUAACCCACGAAAAAUAUAAGAUAAAACAAAAUAAAAGACUUUAUUAAAUUAGCCCACAUAUGCAACGUAACUUGGGCCUCCAUGGCAUGCAUCAUUCCCCUCCUCUUGAAGGAUUUGUCCUCAAAUCCAAGUCGUCAAUCCAAAUGCCGGGAUCAAAAAUCAAAUUUUCGUUCCUAGCAUUAAUUGACUGUUGGACCAUAGCUUUUCUCCCUUGUGCAUUAAUCUUCUUCUUCGGCUCUAACUCUGACUUCUCUUGAACCUUGAACCGCAACACAAUGAUCAGCCUCUCCUCCUUCAUGGCCCACAUCCAAUCACAAGCCCUUGCAAGAAAUGACUUCUGCAUAAACCCAAUCUCCUUUUUAUCUAUGGGCUGCUCCUUUUCAACGCCCUUAGCUUGCGUCAAAGCCUUUGCUUCCAAAGUAGUUGGAGUAGAUUCCUCAAGCACUUCGUCACUUGAAUCCUUCAAUUUUAGCAACUUAGGAGUAGACUCAUCAUCUUUGACAUCAACCUCUCUAUCAACUUCCACCAACUCAUUUGGAUUCAAACAUGCCUCUUCAUUGAUAUACGCCACGACUUCCACUUCAACAUUCAUCUUCUUUGGAUUCAAACGGUGGCUUGUCUGGUUGAGAGUGACGGUGUCUUCUAGUUGUUGCAUUGGCAAUGACUGAUUCUCUUCAUAGAUCCAAUUAUCCCACUCCCCUCCAAGAUACGAUUUAUGAUCGUGUUUCUUUUGGAUUGAUGGAAUAUUUUUCAACUUGAUAAUCUCAUGAUCCCUUGCUUCAUCUCGCCUUUUCUUGCAGCUAUAAAAUUGUCGAGAAGCAUUCUCGAACUCUUCCUCGUAAGAUUUUUCUUCUUUCAUAAGACCCCUUCGAGGACGCCUAAUUGACUGAAGACAAUUCUGAUUCGGUCUCCGUUGAGAUUGCUCAAUUUGAUCUAACCUCUCAUGAAUAGGCUUAAACGCAUUCUCUAUGAUUCUCUGCAGCUCUUCCACCAUAAAUGUAGGCAAAUCGACUCCAGUCAUACUCCUGAAGAAUUCCUAGGAAUUUAUCAAUUCGUCGCUGAACAGGUCAGCCAACUUCAACCCUUCGUUUUAAGCAUCAAACGUCCUCCAAUCGUAUUUUUCCCAGAAAUACGACUUCUUCGUCUUCGAGAGAGCUUUCUGUGACCACCUGUUUCGCCUUAAUCCGAGCUCUGUACAGAAAGUUAUGGCCGUUUUUCGGAGACUGCCAGAACUUGAUUUCCUGCGAAAAUCUGGAUACGAAACGCGGCUCUGAUACCAAAUGAUAUGAUCCUUGCCGAUCAAACGAACACCACGCAAACGGAAGACUUGAAAGAAACGAACUGAAGAUGGAAACCCAAAACCUCUGAAUCUAACCCACGGAAUGAUUUAGGCGAACGAAUCCCUAAACCCCAACGUGAAGUUGACGCAGCAACUCGGGGACGAUGAAUGACACGCGACGAGGGAUGGUUGACUCGCCGUUACGCCGGAUAAAUGAACUCUCUUGGAAUAUACAAGAGAAAAUUCGAAACUCUCAAGGAGAAGUGAUAACUCACGAAAUUUGAUAUAAAAUUGGUUGAUAAUUCGUUCAUAACAAGAGGCCUAUAUAUAGGCAACAAUAAAGAGACCUAAUCUAAUAAGGAAACAACUAAACCUAAUCUAAACCCUAAUUUUCGUCCAUCAUAAAGACUAUAAAUAAGGUAUGCGAAAACCUAACCAAACUAGGAGAAUAAACAUGGAAAAUAACUCCUAAUCUAAUAAGGAAACAUAUCCUUAGUCAAAACAAGGUAUAAAACUCAAAAUUGACUCAACUAAGGCCUAAUUUCAGCCAACCUAACAUAACCCACGAAAAAUAUAAGAUAAAACAAAAUAAAAGACUUUAUUAAAUUAGCCCACAUAUGCAACGUAACUUGGGCCUCCAUGGCAUGCAUCAGAACUUGCCACAAUAUAAGCAUCACACAGGGAUUUUAGUAUAAACGAACCUGUGCAAGCAAUUUCGCAAACCAAAACAUCACAAUAAAGUAACUGCGCAGUUUAAACAUUCAUCAUGCAUGUACCAUAUACUAUUCAUCAUCAAAGAUACUGAGAAGUAGGCCUCCCUCUCAAGUACCGUGACCGGCCGACCCGAAAGACGGCUCACAGUCACCUCUGUGCACAAGAUCCCGCUUGUGGCAGGACCAAAUUCGUCUCAUCUCAUUAGUAGAGGGUAACAUACAAGUUUAUCAUUAAAACUUGGCAAGUCAAUUAGUUGAAACAUAAAGUUAAGUCAAGUCAUGCAUCAUUGAUAAAUUUUCAUCAAACUGAAACUUAAAUAACAGUUAAAACAUAUUAUUCACUUCAAUAUCGUAUAAGAGGCCUACGAUACGCAGGGGAUCUCUAUAUACGUGUAAUAAAAAUAAUGCCCACCUGUCAGACUUAGCUUACUGCAGGUAGUACUCGGAAUGAUCUCACUUGCGUCCUCGACUGGUAUCUUCAGAUAUCAUCAUCGUAGCAAUUCAUGAGACAAGUUAGAGGAACUAGUUAGAAACUUCCUUUCUAAGAGACUAACCUUAAUCCUACAACUUCGACUUAUCUCAAUCUUACAACUAAUUACUACAUUAAUAAACACUAAUCUUAGUCUCAACUUAUCACUCAAAUAGGGCUAGAUUCAAAACAAUCAAGUACAUAGAAACACAUAGACACAUUAUCACACACAAACGUCAUUCUGCACUGUCCCAAACCAAAAAUUAAACCUGUUUCACCUCGGACCUCUCCUGCAUUCGAGACUCAUAUAAAUGAAAACCUCUUUGAGUCUAGUUUCAUUUAAAAAAAAGUAGGUUGAAAAACUCCAAGUGGUUUGAGAGAUAUGGCCGUUCUCCUACAGUCUACCAUAUCCGGCAGUUUUUCACAACUGAACGUUUUGAUUUUUGAAAAAUAGUAAACAUCUCCUAAAUGGCUUGAAAUUUGGUGGGUAGCUAGCUAACACAAUAACCUCUUUACCAUAAAAAUUUGGAAGGUAAAACCUUUCGGAAAGCUACUGAAAAAGGUAGCUCUAGGGUCUGUUCUGAAAACUUUUGGGUAGAAAGUUGCAGUUGGAGUUUUACAUUUUAGAAAAAUAGUAACUGAAGUCCAAAUGACUUGAAAUUUUACGAGUGUAUUCAAACCUCUCGUAUACACUCACCAUAAAAUUUUUAAAACUUUUGGGUAACAAAAACCCUUCGAAAACAGUAGGUCAGUGGAGUCUCAGAAUAACUCCAAACUUGAACAUAAAAGUAAAAGUCUCAUCUCCAAACUCCGUUGAUGAAAAAUUCUCAAAAAUUCAAAAUAAACUCUUAUAACACCCAAGAACAUAAAUAUACAAUCAUACGACUCAAGAAAAAAUCAAACUCGACUUCUCCUCAUCAUUUUCGGUCCUCUCAUAUAAUUUUAGGGGAUGGUUCGUUUCAUCUCAAAUCGCAUAUACGAGCUCAAAUAAUCAUCACAUAGCCAUAUAUGUUCACAUUUAACACUCAACUCAUCGCAUAUGAGAGAUCUCAUGUAAACAUACAAACUAAGCUCGGUGAAAAAUUACAAUUCAUUGAGAAUUCAUAAACUAAUUAUGUCAUGGUCCUAUUUAGGUUCCAAAUAAGUUAUAAACAUUAUCAAUUCAAGUAGGGAUCUCAUAAAUCAUGAAUACCCAAAUUUUAGUUAACUAAACUUAAGUGAAAUCACAUAAAAGCAACAAUUAAACAAAUUGAUCAUGGAUACUUAGUCUAAACAUGUUUUUAAUCAAUUAAUCAUAGUCAAUUUAAGCUUAUGUCUCAUAGAUUAAAAGUCUAAAUUUUAGUCAAACUACUUUUUAGAAAAUCAUUGAUCAUGCUCAAUUAACCAAUUAAAACUUAGAUCUAAGCAAUUAGCUCACUCAAACAUAAAUAUAAGCAUUCACAUAACCAUUUCAAGCACAUAAGUAAAAAUACCUAAUUUUCCAUCAAACUAACUUAUUCCAACUUCCAUCCAUCACUUCCAAUCAUCAAUCCGAUCCAUCAAUUAUCAUAUUAACCUCUUCAUCAAUCAAUCCUCAAAUUCAAGAAUACCCAAAAUUAGAUAAACUAAAUUAACUCAAAAUCCAUAAUCCAAUUUAAAUUCAUUCUUUGCAUUUAGAAAAGGACUAAAUAGGAUCCCAAUAGCAUAAAUAUAAUCUCAAUUUAAGAAUAGAAGAUGAAUUUUUUUGAAGGGUAUCAACCCCAAUUUUUCAAAAAUAAUGAAAAAAUAAAGGUGAGAUUUUUCAUGCUAUUUUCAUCCAUAUAAACACAUAUAUAACUCAAAUAUGAUUAGAUCUAAGUAAAUCUAGCACUUACUCAAGGUUUACGAGUAGAAAAAUAAAAUCUCCUCUUCUUGACUCAAGCUUUAAAAUCCUCCAAAGUUGCUCUUGAUUCAUGGAUAUGAAGUUUAUGCUUUGAUUU
rnacentral:lncRNA from 1 species